rnacentral:rRNA from 1 species
UACGGAAGGUGCAAGCGUUGUCCGGAUUGACUGGGUGUAAAGGGCGCGUAGGCGGAGAGGUGUGUCGGGAGUGAAAUCGUGCGGCUUAACCGUACAAUGGCUUUCGAAACUACCUCCCUUGAGUGCAGAAGGGGUUGAUGGAAUACCUGGUGUAGCGGUGGAAUGCGUAGAUAUCAGGUAGAACACCGGAGGCGAAGGUGGUCAACGGGUCUGUAACUGACGCUGAGGCGAGAAAGUGUGGGGAGCAAACAGG